AUGCCUCUGAGCAACGUGGAUGGGGGGGUAUAUUUCCAGGAAAGACAGGAAGAGCCUCAGAAAAAGGCACAAAUGCUGGAUGAAAUCUCUAUCUCAGUACAAAAAACCAGGCCUGCACAUCUUAGGUGCACAAUUACCAGAGCUUCCCGUCUGAAGACAGAGCUGCACAUGUUAGCCAGAGAGCCACCCUCAGGCAUCAUAUGUUGGCAAGUUAAAGACCAAAUGGAUGAUCUGCGAGGUCAAAUCUUAGGUGGAAACAACACACCUUAUGAGGAAGGUGUUUUCAAGCUGGAAGUUAUCAUUCCUGAGAAGUACCCAUUUGAACCCCCUCAGAUUCGAUUUCUCCCUCCAAUUUAUCACCCAAACAUUGAUUCAGCUGGAGGAUUUGUUUAGAUGUUCUCAAAUUGCCAACAAAAGGUACCUGGAGACCAUCCCUAAGCAUUGCAACUGUGUUGACCUCUAUUCAGCUGCUCAUGUCAGAACCCAACCCUGAUGACCCACUCGUGGCUGACAUAUCCUCAGAAUUUAAAUAUACUAAGCCAGUCUUCCUCAAAAAUGCCAGGCAGUGGACAGAGAAGCACACAAGACAGAAGACUGAUGAGGAUGAGAUGCUUGGUAAUCUACCAGAGGCUGCUGACUCUGAAAUACCUGGCCCAACACAGAAAAGGAAAGCUGGAAAGCAAGGAGGCAUAGAGAAGAAAUUUUGUCCUGGUGUUUAGGGGAUUUGUCCUGGUCCA